UACGAAGGGGGCUAGCGUUGUUCGGAAUUACUGGGCGUAAAGCGCACGUAGGCGGAUAUUUAAGUCAGGGGUGAAAUCCCGCAGCUCAACUGCGGAACUGCCUUUGAUACUGGGUAUCUUGAGUAUGGAAGAGGUUAGUGGAAUUGCGAGUGUAGAGGUGAAAUUCGUAGAUAUUCGCAGGAACACCAGUGGCGAAGGCGGCUCACUGGCCCGAUACUGACGCUGAGGCACGAAAGCGUGGGGAGCAAACAGG
rnacentral:rRNA from 1 species